rnacentral:lncRNA from 1 species
GUUGGUUCCAAGACCGCUGGCAAUCGACCUCCGAGGCUCCCCCCCCAACACGUGCCUAGCCCUGAUGACCGAGUGCUUCAUUGGGUCCGCGGAUCCCAACUCUGCAGGCUGACCGAUGCCACCAACCCUUUUCGAUGCCUUGGUCCAAACUUCUCCCUCUCUGAUGACAUUGGACCUUGUUUGCGGUGCCAAUCAACUUCCGACCUGAAGCUCUGCACAUCUUUGACCUCUAACAGCACCAC